GACGAACGCUGGCGGCGUGCCUAAUACAUGCAAGUCGAGCGAAUCUUUGGGAGCUUGCUCCCGAAGAUUAGCGGCGGACGGGUGAGUAACACGUGGGCAACCUGCCUAUAAGACUGGGAUAACUUCGGGAAACCGGAGCUAAUACCGGAUAAUUCCUUUCCUCUCAUGAGGAAAGGCUGAAAGACGGCUUACGCUGUCACUUAUAGAUGGGCCCGCGGCGCAUUAGCUAGUUGGUGAGGUAACGGCUCACCAAGGCGACGAUGCGUAGCCGACCUGAGAGGGUGAUCGGCCACACUGGGACUGAGACACGGCCCAGACUCCUACGGGAGGCAGCAGUAGGGAAUCUUCCGCAAUGGACGAAAGUCUGACGGAGCAACGCCGCGUGAGUGGUGAAGGUUUUCGGAUCGUAAAACUCUGUUGUUAGGGAAGAACAAGUACGAGAGUAACUGCUCGUACCUUGACGGUACCUAACCAGAAAGCCACGGCUAACUACGUGCCAGCCGCCGCCGUAACAC
rnacentral:rRNA from 1 species